CCUUUUUCCAACUAGAUGCCAGUUGUAAUUAAUAGCCAGAAUACUGUCCCAUAUUAGAGUGAUGAAGUAAAUAUAAUGCCCUUCAUCUACUUUAAUCAAGGUUCAUGGUGCUACAGAGGAGACAGGUCCUUGCAAGAACAUCUGGCAGCCAGAGUGGUAAUGUGAAUGCUUGGAAUUACUUAGUUGGGACAACACAAUGUGUCAGCAUUAAGCCACACAGGAUCAGAACAGUUCCUGUUAUGUGCAGGGAAACUGAAUAACUGAGAAUCACACGUUAGCCUCCAUUUUAUGGCUGGAAUCCCAGAAAUGCCAACGGGAACUGUGGAUGUUGACCAGAAAGAUGUGACCUAUCCAUCUCACUUGCAUGAAAGUGUGUGGUACCACCGUCCAACACAAAAGACUAAUGUGCCUGGAGAACAACAGCAACAGAGUGGCCGUAUAACAACAACAAGGACAAUAACAGUACCAUUUACAGACAUUGCUGAUCCAAUGGAAGAUUAGCCAGCAAAACCAUCAUUCUGGGAGAAGGUUUUCCCUGCAGGACGUGGAAGAAAUCAGUAAAUGAAGGUAAGCACAGCUAAUGUAUGUACUGAAGUCUUCUAAACAGGUCACCUGAAAUGAUGUCACAUUUCACUUCAUCAUAAUGAGACAGCAAAAUGGAGGCCCUGUUGAUGUUUGUUAAGAGAUUUCCUUUGUUAACUGUAUAACUAAGAUUUUCUAUAAAUAAAGGAGGUCACAGAAGGACA
rnacentral:lncRNA from 12 species